CCACUGAAAUACAUGCCUGAGAUAUACAUCUGAUUGCUUUAAAGUGAGUCAGAUAUACAUGCCUGAGAAUAACAUCAUCUAUCCCGGCUCCUCCCGUGUUCCCAAUUCCAUCUACACUACUACUACCUCAGAAAGAAAAGCCCAAUCUAGACGGCGAGCGGCGCUCAGGGUUUCUGGCGUAUUUUGUCCGGCGGCUCCCCCUUUUCUCUUCGGCGCGCAGGAAAGCUCGCGUUGCUACAGUAAGAUCGAUCUGUACCAUGCAGCAUUGAUCCGGAGGCGGCGCUGCCGUCUGUACUCUCCCGAACACAGGUCCACGACGAGACCUCCCGCUGAUACAGUAGGAGAUUGAUUAUUUCUGUUGCACUGCACAAAAUGAAGAUCGAGUUUCUGGCGAUGAUGCUCCAGAAAGCCAGAGCAUUUGAUACAGUACAGCUCCGGGACUAUCACCAGGAAACUGGCCGUGCUCGCCGCAGUUGAAGCAUUUGCUGUUGAGCCUACUGCUUUCACUCUCGUAUCAUGGCUCAGAUCCUUUGUCCACCACAAUUUUAAGGCAUGUUGUUACUGUUCUGUUCCUAGUUUAAAUGUACAUGUUUAGGCUUCAUAUGUGUGCUCUUAGUCCAUGUAUGUUACUCCAUGUUGGCUGAUUUUAAGGACGUGAUUUCUUUGCCUUCCCGCGUACUGCUUUCACUCUAUUACCAUUGCUCCGUUCGUUUGUCCAUCACCUGUUUUGGGCAUGGUUUUGCCAUGAUGUUUUGAGUUUAAAUGUACAUGUUUAGGCUUCGUAUGUGUGCUCGCUGUUUGAAUCAUAGUCCAUGUAUAUCACUCCCUGUUAGCCGAUUUUAAUCUUUGCAAGGCCAACAUGCUGGUUCAGAAGAAGAUGCGGUUGAAUCUUGUGUAGUUGUGUAUAAUGAUGUAGUACUUCUGUAGGUCAGUACAAAGAUACAUUUUAAAGGAAUGGGUAAGAAAUAUAUUGGAGAUGAUAUAACCGAGAUAGCAUCUGCUGUUAAGGUUCAUUUCCGUUGUCCCGCAUCAUUUUUAGGCAUGGUUUUACGGUGCUGUUGUGUGUUCAAAUGUACAUGUUUAGGCUCCGUUAAUGUGUGCUCGCUAUUUGAAUCAUGGUCCAGGUAUGUUACUCCCUCUUAGCUGACUGUAAGAACGUGAUUUGUUUGCCUUCCAGUGUACUGCUUUCACUCGUAGCAUGGCUCAGUUCCUUUGUCCAGCACCUGUUUUGGGCACGGUCCGUGCUGUUUUGAGUUUAAAUGUACAUGUUUAGGCUUCGUAUGUGUGAUCAGUGUUUGAAUAAUAGUCCAUUUAUCACUCGCUGUUAGCUGAUUUUAAUCUUUGCAAGGCCAGGAUGCUGAUUCAGAAGAAGAUGCGACUGAAUCUUGUGUAGUUGUGUAUUAUCAGGUAGUACUUCUGUAGGAGACAGAAUAUGGUUCGUGGUUCAGUUCCUUUGUCCAGCAUCAUUUUUAGGCAUGGUUUUAUUGCGAUGUUCUGAAUAUAAAUCUACAUCUUUAGGCUUCCUACGUGUGCUACCUGUUUGAAUCAUAUGAUGGCUCAGUUCCUUUGUCCUGUGCAUGUAGUUAUUCUUUUUUUUCUUUUGGUGUAGUUGCCCAUCAGAUGUCUUUUGUUGGAUGAAGGGAGUAGUACUUCUGUAGGAGACAAAAUAGUGUUCGUGCUUCCAUUCGUCGUGGAGGGAGUGGAGGACGUGGAGGCCUCGUUCCAGCACAUAUUAUGUUGCUUGCAACAACAACUCAACAAUUGAUUAUGAACCCAAGAUUGUCUUAUAACCUGUUGGUGAUAAGUAAGUACGUAGCUUCCACCACUUGGGAUGACCACUAUAUAUCUUUGUCCAGAUGAUGGAGUAACCCAUGCAGAUUGAGUGAGGAGGGAGUUUUGGGUAAGAAUUUCAUACAUCAUUCAACCUGUUAAAAUGUAGUUCCAGCCUAGUUAUAAGGACGUGAUCUGUUUGGGUUCCAGUGUAUUGCUUUCACGAUCGAAUCAUGGCUCAGUUCCUUUGUCCAUCACAAUUUUUAGGCAUGGUUUUAUUGCGAUGUUCUGAAUCUAGAUCUACAUGUUUAGGCUUCAUAUGUGUGCUACCUGUUAUAAUCAUAUGAUGGCUCAGUUCCUCUGUGAUGUGCUUGUAGUUAUCCUUUUUUCUUUUGGUGUAGAUACCCUUCAGAUGUCCCUGCCAUGCUUGUAACACGACGACUUCCAUUGUAUUCACAACGCCAAGUCGUGGAUUUGAUCGACACUGCAGAAAGAUGUGAAGCUCUCCUGGUGUAGUAACCCUUGUGCUACCUGUUUGUAUCAUAUGAUGGCUCAGUUCCUUUGUCCUGUGCUUGUAUAGGGUCAUUUGGUUAUCCUUUUUUCUUUUGGUGUACUUACCCUUCAGAUGUGCCUGCCAUGCUUGUCACACGACGACUUCAUUGUAUUUGCAACGCCAACUCGUGUAUUUCAUCGACACUGCCGAAAUAUGUGAAGCUCUCCUGGUUUAGUAACCUGCCAGAUGUUCCUGCCGUGAUGUGAAUAUUGCAGAGGUUUUAAUGGAUAUCUCAGUGGUUUUCGAAGGUUGAGCUUCAGAUUGCUCUCCAGAAAAAGACUUCAACAUCAACGAUGUCUCUGUGUUACGUGCUAACGAACUAUUCAUUCCCGUUGGGCAUCCCAUGUCUAAACGUCCCUUAUUUAUAUGAAUAAAUUUGCUUCUGUUGA